rnacentral:lncRNA from 1 species
CCUUCUCCUCCUCCCUUCUCUCCGACGACGAGCGAGCGGCCCUUGUCCUCUCCGACGACGAGCGAGCGGCCCUUGUCCUCUCCGGCGCUGAGCGACGUACGACGGCAAGCUCCUCUCCUCCUCCCUCCUCUCUGGCACCGAGCGACCGUCCGCGUCCUCCUCUCCUCCUUCCUCCUCUGCGGCGCCGACCGGCCGGCCCCAUCUCCCUCCGCCUGAGAAAGAGGUAAUUCAAUAGAUUUUUU